UAUAAAAUAGCGGCCAAGUGCGAGUCGGACUCGCCCAUGAAGGGGGUUUACGAUUUAUGACGUAUUAAAAAAAAACUACUUACUAGAUCUCGUUCAAACCAAUUUUCGGUGGAAGUUUGCAUGGUAAUGUACAUCAUAUAUUUUUUUUGUUUUAUCAUUCUCUUAUUUUAGAAG